GACGAACGCUGGCGGCGUGCUUAACACAUGCAAGUCGAACGGUGAACCUCUUCGGAGGGGAUCAGUGGCGAACGGGUGAGUAACACGUGGGCAGCCUGCCCCCGGCUCUGGGAUAACUCCAAGAAAUUGGGGCUAAUACCGGAUGUUCACCGCUUCCCGCAUGGGUGGUGGUGAAAAGGGUUUCCGGCUGGGGAUGGGCUCGCGGCCCAUCAGCUUGUUGGUGUGGUAGUGGCCUACCAAGGCGACGACGGGUAGCCGGCCUGGGAGGGUGACCGGCCACACUGGGACUGAGACACGGCCCAGACUCCUACGGGAGGCAACAGUGGGGAAUCUUGCGGGAUGGGCGGAAGCCUGACGCCGCGACGCCGCGUGGGGGAUGACGGCCUUCAAGUUGUAAACCUCUUUCAGCGGGGACGAAGCGCAAGUGACGGUACCUGCAGAAGAAGCACCGGCUAACUACGUG
rnacentral:rRNA from 1 species